rnacentral:lncRNA from 1 species
AGACACUCUGUGCAAAGAACAGAGGCAAGCCUCCAGCCAGGAGCUCAUGAAAUCAUGAACUGAGGCCUCAGUGCAAUAGCUCAUGAGGAAAUGAAUUAUUUCAACAGCCAGAUGUAGUAAACACUCAGAGAAAACGAGGUUGAAAAACCAAAUGCUGGGGAGGAGCCAAGAUGGCCGAGUAGGAACAGCUCCGGUCUACAGCUCCCAGCGUGAGCGACGCAGAAGACGGGUGAUUUCUGCAUUUCCAUCUGAGGUACCGGGUUCAUCUCACUAGGGAGCGCCAGACAGUGGGCGCAGUUCUGGAAGUUGGAAGUACAAGAUCAGAUUGCCAGCAUCAUCAGGUACUCAUGAGGGCCGUCUUCCAGCUUGCAGACUGCCAACUUCUCAUUGUGUCCUCAGCUUGGUACAGGAACAACAGAGAGCCAGACAAUUCUGCCAUUCACUGGGACACACGAGAUGGAACUCAAUAGAAGUCAAGAGAAAACUAAAUUCAAAUAUUUACAGAGGCAAUAAAAAAGCCUAGGAUUGAGACACAAUAGCAAUGAACAGAAGAACUAACAGUUCAAAACUGAGGGCUAAGCGCAGUGGCUCAUGACCGUAAUCC